rnacentral:rRNA from 1 species
UACGUAGGAUGCGAGCGUUGUCCGGAAUUAUUGGGCGUAAAGCGCACGUAGGCGGUUUCUUAAGCUUGGUCUUAAAGACCGGGGCUCAACCCCGGGAAUGGAUCGAUAACUGGGAGACUGGAGGACGGCAGAGGAAAGUGGAAUUCCGAGUGUAGCGGUGAAAUGCGUAGAGAUCGGAAAGAACACCAACGGCGAAAGCACUCUGCUGGGCCGACACUGACACUGAGAGACGAAAGCUAGGGGAGCGAAUGGG